AAGGCAUUCUAAUUCAACACGCCACCCAUGAUGUUGGCCCGACGAUGACAGCUCCCAUCCCGGCUUUGAUAUUUCACCGCUUUUACAGCCGUCUAUCCCCCUCCCCACUCGUCCACCCGACGUUCCUCACUUCCCCACCAACCUCUCCUCCGACAUUCCAUCCCUCUCUCUCAUACUAUAGUCGCUUCCCCUGCUACCCCUACCCGCUGGGCUACCAUAGCUGCCACGACACGGAACCGUCGUCCCUGCCACCACGGCAACCCGAUAUUUUAUACCGUGAAACCUGUCUGUCUCUCCGGCCGGCCCCGCUUAAUAAGCAGCUUUCAAAAUAGAAAUGUAAUGGGCUAGUGGGGGUAGGGGAGCGGGUCGGGUGAUUGAUUGCUCGCUCAACGACUUACCGACUUGCCGCGGCCCCACGGGGUAACGAAUGACAGCCACUUAAGCGCUGUUUGCCUACAGUUUUGUAAAAGCGUUUUAAUUAUCGCCCCAGCUCCGGCCUCGACUACAGUGCGCACUGAGUCAUCCGGUACUUAACGUCUCGCGGCUACCGAUCUCUCGAUGUUUGCGUGCCACUGUUACUGUCACGUUGUGGAUUGCACACCCCGUAGAUCCGUCGAUAUCGGACAGUCACUGGCGAUGUAACGAAUACUGAUCUCUAGCGAGUAGUGAGUAGUGCGUUUUUCAGGCCGCGUUAUCACAUAGGUAGUACACGAAUUCUUUCAUCACUUUUAUCUUAUCGACCUGUCCGAUACUUACUUGUACAAGCGAAAGUGAGCAUCGUGCUUUAUUCAUCCAUACGUACGAGUCCUUUCCAUCGUCAACAAUCGAGUUCUUUUCAAAUGUUAUUUAAAAAAAUAAAAUCGUGUGUAUUUACGCAAAAUAAAGCGCGCAAGGCACAUACUUGGUGAAAUCCUACGAUGCAUUCACGCGUGCAACGCAUUUACGCGCUCGCCAAGUACGCAUCGUGCGCGUCCGCAUGACGAGCGAUACAACCAUUAAAGAGCUUGACUAUCAGGCCUCGUUGGAACUCAAACGCUCCGCGGUUAGGCGAUUACGGCCAUUCCGUUAAGUACAGCUUAAGCAAGAUAAAGCGAUCGAUGAAGUAACUAUGUUACAAGGUAAUUACGACGAAUUAUGACGAUAUCCACACGCCCGCUACGUAGACCGCAUAUCCGCGGUAAACAAUAAUUACCUCGGGGAGCACUUCGCACAGGAAUGCAACUGAACAGUAUCUGAGAAAUGCAUAUAGGCCAGCCCCUUGUGCCUUGCUUCGAAGAUUUCAAGCUUGCAGACGUACCAACAACGGAUUCAGUCUGGUCAUUGAUGUGUCAUUCCUAUUAUAAACACCCUGUUUACCUACAACAAAUUCCAAUAUUAAGUGGCCGUCGAAUGAUUGCCGAACCGACGACACCGCGACAACGAUCCGUCUAUUGAAGUCUUUCAAGACCGUAUUGUGACCAUACGAAUUCGCUCCGGGAACAAUAGACAUCGGGAGAGCUUCGGAUAAAAGUGUAAAAAUGCUGACAAGCGGAUAAUAAAGGAGGCAGUCAGUCACUUUGAGAGAUGGCGCCGAACAAAGAGGGCGAACGAAGGAAGAGACGACCCGACGAGAGCAGGAGCGGGGGAUUGCUCGGUGAGCCGUGAAAGGGAAAAAGAUGGAUGAACGCGAACGCAGUUGGCGUGCACGGAGGAGAAACAGAAUUUGCGGGGGAUAAUAAAUCAUAGCGGUCUUUCUUCCGCCAUCCCUCUACCCCUCUUCGCUCCUAACUUCUUAUACACCCAGCUCUGCGCUCGGAAUGACAGGGGUGCGCGCUAUGCGGUUAUAUACGUAUCGUCGAGGACGGAUACAACCUAUUUUGUAUCAAGUUUCGCAUGAAAAGUGAACCACGCGUUGCGAAGCGAGCUUUAUAUACGAAUCUGCACGGUUUUCUCGAUGAAGAUUUAUUACCUCACACGUUUACAACGGCACAUUACGCCAUUUAUGUCAGAAUAAUUUGCUAUAAAGCAAACAUUAAGUCAUUGUGACAUAAUUAGUUUAUUAUUUUUGCAACUUCAUUGCAGCACGCCGACUUACAUAUUUGUUUCAAUGAAUUAGAAUACUUCCUUGCAGAAUAGAAUGAAUUCAGAACUUCACCGGCGUAAUUUUGAAUUCACGUGAUCCAACUGAGUUACGGAAAAAGAGCGCCGCCGUGCGUGUCACGCGUCUACGAAGACCACAAUACGGACUUAUAAUUAUUUCUGACAACCCGUUUCACUAUGCCGAUGAUCAAAGAGGUCACGUUAUCCGGCUUCCGACAGUAUGCCAGUCAAUAGAUCGACCGGGAAAAAGGAAGUGACGGAUAAAAAAAAAGAAAGUGCGCGCUCGGCAAUAAUAAUAACAGGGGACGGAGACACAGGCAGAAAUACGGAGCUGCCGGCGCAGCACAUCGAGCAACUCGGCAAGGGUCUCGUUGCCUCAUGUUUAAAUCAGCGAUAACGAGAAGCUUCGGUGACAUAUGUCACUGUCGCUGUCAGCCGGCUACACAAUCAAUAUAGUUACCCGCCCGUCCGUCUGUCCGCCCUCUCUCCUUGCGUCGCCGGCUCGAGCUGCGCCUGCUUUUCAGCCUUCGCAUGCAUAGACCGUAUACCCGUCCGAUAAUGUAUUCGGUACGUGACUUCGUAUUCGACAAAUACAAGAGCACCGUAGUCCGAUGCACUGCUCGCCACGCAGUCCGACGCAUCGUUGAAUGUCUUUCACAAGAUUCGAAAAACAUCCGAUGUCACACUAUCGUAGAUGAGGUAGCAUAGUAAUUAGCCGAUCGUUUUGAUAUUUCCAAUUUUUUUUAAUUUUUUAUGUUAUUAUUUCGACACAAAAAUUAUCUUUAAUUCGUCCCACUGAAUAUCUGCUAAAAUAAUCGUGUCGUUUUAUUCGUAUCGCUUUCAUUUCUAUUUUAUGUUUAUAACAUUACGCAUGCAAUAGAAAUAUACAUUGUUAGGAAAUAUAUAAUAUCGACUGAAAAGUCGAUAUAUGUAAAUCGUUACGUACGUGUUUAAUGUAUGUAUAUUUAAGAUAUAUGCGCGUCGUUAGUGCAUCUAAAUCAGUAACACAGAUGAAUUUGUUGAAUGUCUUUGCUGUUGAUAGUAACCUCACAACCUAAUAGAACAGCGGUAGCUGAAAUUAACACGGACAUGUGUAAACAGCUUUGGAUAAUAAAUAUGAUGCGUUCGAUUGACUCGGAUUACCACUUAAUUUAGACGAUGGACGAGGCGACAGUUUGUCAAUCGUCUGCGAAUCCCGGUUUACCGAGCAUACACGCGGGUCCAAAUGGCUUUAUCGCGCCGUCAAUCAAUAAUAGCGGCUUACUGAUUAAACGACUUGCUUAAUAUUCACGUAAUACAACCGAGAUGUUAAAUCAAACAUCAAUAUCUAUCAUGGACAAAUGAAACUGAAAGAAAAUACAAUAGGUAACUCUAGAUGGGUAUAACGGAGUUUAGAAGGAAAAAUAAUGCCUACUGUGGAACACACAAAGCUGUCGGCCAUAAAACACUGAUGUCAGGCCAGGCAAACGGCGCGCAAGCGCGCACGACCUGCAUUUUUAUGUCCACGACCAGAUCCGUGCGCGGAUUUUUUCCAGGUCUAGUGAGUUUGAGAGUGGGCCCCCACAAUGUCGGACACACACACACACACGCGCGCACGACGUACACACAUAUGCGGUUACAUACUAGGAAACAUCACAAUCUUUAACUUGCAAUAUUGCGAUUCAAUUUCUUGGUUAAUCGUAUUCACAUUUGAAAUUCAGAAGUCAAAUCACGAGUCUAUAUCUUACACAAAUACACUGACGUUUAUUUAUUACCACUACGUCAUUCGGGUUUAUUCGAGCCACGAAACAUCAUAGUCGCUUACUAUUGCGCUACAUCAUAUUACGAUAGCAAGUGCUUGUCCAUUAACGAGUGAGCAUUACGAAAGACGAUCCAUCGAGUGAUAAGUGGACAGUUGAGAAAACCGUCCAAAUUAAUGAAAUCCUGUCAAAUCUGAUUGCACUUGAAAAAUAAUGAGUCUACGACAAUAAAUAUCCAAUGCUAUAUCAAAACAACUCAAUUUAUUACUCGGUAACAUCAGAAGGUAACAUCCCCUGACCUAGAAAAAACACUCGCAUUUCCGGAUUUCUCUGUACUGGAGUCCAUGAAUUAUCACUUUAGACAUCUGCACGAGAACUUGGCGGAUUCCUCAAACGUUCUCGUUUAAACUUAAUAAAACAUCGUCGUGGUUGUGCGUAAUAUUGCUACCAUUAACAUAACUUCAAGACCAUAAACUCUGACGAAACAUGCAGACUCGUUUACGUGGACUGAGCCGAGAGAGCGAAGGUUCCCUCGAAGCGUUAUCCUCGGAACUUCAAUUUAUGGAACACCCGUCCAUAAUCGGACAUAUCUCAGGCCCGUCCGAACAGCCGCUAUUCCGGAUACGAUAAUGGCACUGCCUUUGAUAAAUCAGUCCGCGUUAGGUGGCAUUAAAGGCCUGAGGGACGGCUCUGCAACAGCAAUCUCCUGAUUUUAUUUCUCGAAGGCCCGUGCGGGUGCUCUCUACUUAUCUGGCGCCUCAACUCGUUUACUGGGGUUAGUAUGAGAAGCGCCUUCGUCGGGUCGUCUCUAUGCCUAAUUCUCUCGUCUUGCACUCCAACAUAGUCCGCGUGCGGCACGACCCCGCAUGGUCGAAAUUAUCGAGGACGGCAGCCUGCUAUUACUAUUAUGCCCUCGACCCUUCGUGCUGAGACAACUACUAGGAUCGCUAAUUAUUUCGAACGAAAUGACCCCCAGACGGCUAAUGACAAUGCCGAUGGAGGCGGGUAGUUCUCUAAAAUCGUGUUAUUAAAAUAGGACAAAUGAUGAUAGGUUUUGGAUCGGAGUUCGCUCGUCUGCCAAUGACAUCAGCUUCGAAAGUUAACUUACACUUAUGUGUUAACGACGCACAGAAGUUUCGAAACUCAUGUGUGGUUUUAAUAUAUUUUAACGCAUCCAUCUAUACACAUGUAUAUGUACGUAAGUGCGGUAGUAUAAAUGGCUUAUAAUUUCUUGGCGUUUCUUAUUGUUCAAAACUAAUAAAUUCCAUUAAUAAAUUUGACUUUGUUUUGAGAAAAAUACCAAUCAAUACUAGUGACAAUGUGAUUUGGAAUAAAAUUUGAAUAUCACAAAUGUCUAAAUUUUAAACUCUUCAAAUCAAUUGCAAAUUUUCAUUAAAGUAUUUCGUGAGAUUUCUUUACUGCUGUCCAGUAUAGCUAUUUUAACGCAGUGUGUGUCUGGUUUCCUUUUGGGAAACAACGCGGAACAGUUAGGAUCGACUGUCACGAUUGUUUUCAUGUUC